CUACGCACUCCUACGGGAGGCAGCAGUGGGGAAUAUUGCACAAUGGGCGCAAGCCUGAUGCAGCCAUGCCGCGUGUAUGAAGAAGGCCUUCGGGUUGUAAAGUACUUUCAGCAGUGAGGAAGGUGGGUAUGUUAAUAGCAUAUUCAUUUGACGUUAGCUGCAGAAGAAGCACCGGCUAACUCCGUGCCAGCAGCCGCGGUAAUACGGAGGGUGCGAGCGUUAAUCGGAAUUACUGGGCGUAAAGCGCAUGCAGGUGGUUUGUUAAGUCAGAUGUGAAAGCCCGGGGCUCAACCUCGGAAUUGCAUUUGAAACUGGCAAACUAGAGUACUGUAGAGGGGGUAGAAUUUCAGGUGUAGCGGUGAAAUGCGUAGAGAUCUGAAGGAAUACCGGUGGCGAAGGCGGCCCCCUGGACAGAUACUGACACUCAGAUGCGAAAGCGUAGGGAGCAAACAGGAUUAGAUACCCUGGUAG
rnacentral:rRNA from 1 species